GCCAGCAUGGUGUAGUGGUUUGAGUGUUGGACUAUGAUUCUGGAGACCAGAGUUUGAGUCUCUGCUUGGCC